ensembl:lncRNA
GAUAAGCAUCUGGACUUCACCUCUCAUCCGAGAAGCUUCUUCAGUUCUAAUGUCAAAUGGUGGAGAGUCCCAGAUAUAAACCUAGUGAGAGUGACCCCCCACAGAGGACAAAAGGACCCCCUGAUGAUCCUCUAAUCGCCUGAGCCAAGAUGGGAAAAUCAUCAAAGCUGAGUCUGGACAGAAUGUGUCUCUGCCAUGUCAAACUCCAAACAUCAGCAUGCCCAUCAGAGCUGUGGAGUGGUUCAGACUUGACCUGCAGGAAGGACAUGUUCUCAUGUACCGGGGUGAGCAGUUUAUUUCAUUCAACCAGCUUCCAUCGUUUGUGAACCGGGUGGAUCUGCAGGACAGACAGAUGAAGGACGGAGACGCGUCUUUGACUCUGAAGGAUGUGACGAGUGAUGACACUGGAACAUUUCAGUGUUACGUGGUCCAGAGAGGAACAAAUGGCAGGAAAAGCAUUUUUGAGUAUAUCAGCACCGUCUACCUGAGAGUUGUUCCUCCAGGUCAGCCAGGAGGACACAGGAAAGGCAAAGGGAACGAGGAUGUAUCCUCUGGACUGGACUUUUGUUUAACAGUUAGUGUUAUACUUGUUACGCUAGCUCUUGCUUUUUUUAUGACCUUCACAAUACCCAAAACACAGGAGAAGAAGAUUUGAUCCAGACCUCAGAUGACUCGACAGGUGAACCUUAAGUCACCUACCCACUAAACAUUGGACAUGGGAUAGACGUGCAGAUCAUGUCUAUACUGGGUCCAUCAGUCCAUGACCAAUUCUGAACAUCUAUAUAUCCAAACUAGGUCCACAACUUGAAAGACCUCAUCUGGUGUUACAGAAAUGGCAGAUAAAAGUCACUCCGAGGUCACUUUGCUCAGUGGGUUGUAGAUGUCUAACACCUGAAUUUAUUUAAUAAUGUCUUUAGUGUUUCUUUAGAAACAUUAUUAAAAAGAUUUUAAAAAAUAAAUGAAUGAAACAAAGUGUUUCCUUUUCCAAGAUUGUUUAGCUGUUAAAAAGCAAUCAUUUAAAUCAAAGCUGGAUGUAGUCAAGUCUUCAUAGAGCAGCCAGUCCCAAAUGACUGCUACAAUCCACUUUCACCAAAACUUGUUUUUUUAUUUCCAGAAUUAUUUCUAUCAUUGUGUUUUCAUUUAUUAAUUUGAUGAUUAAAUUUUUUGGGAAGCACUGUGUAACACUAUAAAUGUAUGAUCACAUACAUCAUGUUGAAACAGGAUUUCUACAUGAUCUAGUCCUCACUCAUUUUGUUUCUAUACUGUACAUACAGCCUGGUAUAUAUUUCUUUGGGAGACGGUGGAAUAUGUUUGUCACUGUCAGACGUUGUGUAUUGUUGUAUGUGUUCAGAGAUAAAGAGAGUUUACAAAGUGAAUAAUAAGCAGGUUAAUCAGUGUUAGUGAAUCUGCUCAGAUAUAUUAUUGAAGCUGCAGAGCAGGAGGAUUUAGUUGUAAGUUACACUGCAUGUAAAAGGGAUCAAUAAAAGGUCAUUAUUGUGUAAAUUUAUACCUAAACAAACAAGGUAACCAGGUGGGUUUAAAGAUCUUAACCUGAGUUAACGUUGUGUUUUUAUGUGACGACAAGAUGACAGUGUGUACAUGGACAAAAAAAGAUGGUGAAAUUCUGUUUAAUAAAUAGAUGAGGAAGAGUUUGCAGACUGAACACAACUUAUGUCUCCUGCUCGUGUUUUUCUGUAUAAAACAGGCCCAUCUGAAUGCCUGCAACAGCUACAACGAGCUCUCAUGUUCCCUGUUUCUCAUGAAAACACUGCAAAAUGUCAACAUUUGGGACUUAUAGAAAAUCCCAUUCUAAUUUAUUUAACAUCCUUCUCAUUAGAGUCAGUCUAACUCUGUAAACACCCUCAUUACUAACACAACCCACAUACUCAUAAAAAAAACACUUGUCGUGAAAUCAAUCAAUGUAGAGCAGUGUCACAAACCACGGAGGCCCCAGAAAAGUGCAAUCAAACGGUGAGUUUAUUAACACCCAGGAGAAAACAUCAGCAUACGUCUUCUGACAAAAAUACAUGUUGAGAACACUUAUAAAGCAGUGAGGUACACCCCCCCCCCCCCCCCCCCACAUGGCGUAAAAAUAGGUUAAAGACGGCAGUUACAGUAAAUGGUACAUCUUAGAUGGCUAUAAACAGACAUAGAACUACUCUUUUCUAUAACACCUUCCAAACAAGGUAAUAACUUCAAGCCUUCAAGGUCUCUGAGGGCUGGUUGUCGACUCCAGUCAUCUGUUACCAAGUAGACCAAAAUGCAGUUGGAAGCUAAAUGAGUUAAGGCCUCAGGCCUGACACAUUCCUAGAUUAUCUGUGUUAUAUGUAUUGUAAGCAUGCAUCCAAUCAUCCUUCUAUGUUCUAG